rnacentral:lncRNA from 1 species
AGUGGUCUUGUAACAGGGAGGUGGGAGGGCUGGGAGGGCGAUUUGUACCACUGAAGCUCUAAUAAUUUGGUUCUUUACUGUUUUGGGGGGAGAAGAACAAUGUGAAGUGUUCUGUGUAUUAUCGGAUUUCAAGCAAUAUUUUAGAAACCGUGUGACUGCUUUAAUAAUUUUUUCCAAUGCUAUUUGAAUCAUGCUAUCAGUUAUACUAAAGCUGAAUGACAAUUGUGUGAACAUUAAUGCCUUCAUAAGAUCAAGUACACCACUGUACGCAGCUGACAUAUAGUAUAUUACCUUCGAGGCUAGUAAACUAUACAGUUUUAGAUAUUAAAUCUCGUUACAGGGUUAUUUAUAUAAUGUGACAUUAUUCUAUACUGACAGACUACAUGGAGUAGUUUUAAAAAGUAGUGCUAUUUUUAUUUCAGAAGUUAGCAAUGAGAAGGAAAUGUGACCUGCCUGUGUUUGUCUUCUGUACAAAGACUGAAGUGCUUAUGUUUUUCUGACUAACAAUGGCAGAGGGCAGAGUUCAAAGCUUCCUUGUAAAGACUGUUCUUUUCGGGCUACUGUGUGUUUUCUAAUGCUGACGUGUGCUUCCAUAGCGGGCAAGUUCCUUCAUGUGGAGUAGUGCGACCUGUUUAUGGGUUGUAACAUUUGAAAAAAGACACCUGUGCUUGCACAGUUUUUAGUCAUUCUUAAAUCAUUCUUAAACUCUGAACAUGUGAGCUGUCUAAAAGAAUCUCUUAAUUUCACAGUAAUUUCCACUUUGUGCACAUAUUGAUUUCUUAAUGGUAAAAAGCCUUGUUUAUGAUAGUGUUCUCUGUUGAGGAUAUUUUCAUGGAAUAAAGCAAUCUUUUCAUGGUCAGUUAAG